GACGAACGCUGGCGGCGUGCUUAACACAUGCAAGUCGAGCGGAAAGGCUCCUUCGGGGGUACUCGAGCGGCGAACGGGUGAGUAACACGUGAGUAAUCUGCCCUUGGCUUUGGGAUAACUACCGGAAACGGUGGCUAAUACCGGAUACGACCACUCCUUGCAUGAGGUGGUGGUGGAAAGUUUUUUCGGCCAGGGAUGUGCUCGCGGCCUAUCAGCUUGUUGGUGGGGUAAUGGCCUACCAAGGCUUCGACGGGUAGCCGGCCUUGAGAGGGUGACCGGCCACACUGGGACUGAGACACGGCCCAGACUCCUACGGGAGGCAGCAGUGGGGAAUAUUGGGACAAUGGGCGGAAGCCUGAUCCAGCAACGCCGCGUGAGGGAUGACGGCCUU
rnacentral:rRNA from 1 species